rnacentral:rRNA from 1 species
GACGAACGCUGGCGGCGUGCCUAAUACAUGCACGUAGAACGCAGAUGCGAACGGGUGCGGAACGCGUAGGUAACUGCCUCAUCGCGGGGGAUAACUAUUGGAAACGAUAGCUAAUAGCUAAUACUGUGAGAUGGACCUGCGGUGUAUUAGCUAGUUGGUGAGGUAAAGGAUCAACAAGUCGACGAUACAUAGCCGCCCGGAGGGGGUGAGUGGCCACACUGGGACUGAGACACGGCCCAGAUGCCGACGGGAGGCAGCAGGAGGAAAUAUGCGGCAAUGUACGGAAGUCUGACCGAGCAACGCCGCGGGAGUGAAGAAGGUUUUCGGAUCGUAAAGCUCUGGUGUUAGAGAAGCGGUAACUAACCAGAAAUGGACGGCUAACUACGUGCCAGCAGCCGCGGUAAUUC